AUCCUAUUUGUGGACCAUGAACAUAAUGAUUGAAUUUUCAUUCUAUUGUGUGAAAUAGGUUUUAAUCCUUAUUAUUACAUCAAGGCAUUACCUGUCUGACA